rnacentral:rRNA from 1 species
AUGGACAACUCAGUCGAGGCGACAACUCAGAUCAGCACUGCAGGGUAUGCUGUCGAGAUGAGUUUGGAUGAGAGGUUUGCGACGAUGAGGAGCAUCGGGUUGGGGAGCAUCGACGAGGAAGAGGAGCUUAGGGUGCUACCGGAGAAGAAGGUCGCUCCUAUUUGCUAUGUUUGGUGCGAUCCCUCUCCAUCGGUACACAUUGCCCAGGGGAUCAUGAUGGUGCUCAAUGUCAACAAAAUGGUCAAAGCUGGCUGCAGGGUUAAAAUCUUGAUGGCGGAUUGGUUUGCUCAUAUACACAACAGAUUCAGUGGUGAUAUGAAUGAUAUUCAGACUAUUGGAUGUUACAUGAUUGAGGUAUGGAAAACAGCCAGCUUGGAGCUUAACGGGGUAGAGUUCGUGUGGUUGUCGGAUGAAAUAAAUCGCCGUCCACAUGAAUACUGGACGCUUGUGAUGGAUGUUGCCAUAAAUAACACCGUGGGGAGGAUGAUAAGGUGCUGGGACAAGACCUUUGAAUAUGCACUCGGGGUGUACGGAAUGCCUGCUGACCCAUAUGACCGGCCUGAUGUCGUGGCUAAAAUGAUCUUUGAACCUUGCAUGCAAUGUGCUGCUGUAUUACUCCCGAAGGCAGACAUAUGGCUGUUGUCCAUGGAUCAUGACGAGGAUCUUGAGGAGGUUCGCGAGCUAACUAGAGAGUACUGCAAAGACAUGAAGGGUGAAAAUCAACCUAUUAUUCUGUCCCAUAAUAAGCUCCCCGAUUUAAUAGAGGACGAUGAAUUUGGUAAUAUAGGAGAUCCAGCUUGGGCCAUCUUCAUGGAAGACGGGGAACAAAUUUUGAGUGUGAAAGUAAGGAAAGCUUUUUGUCCUGUAAAAGUUGCACAAGGCAACCCAUGUCUGGAGUACAUUAGACAUGUUGUGUUUUCAUGGUUUGGACACUGUGAGGUUCCCGGGAAAGAAGAGAAGAGUUGUGGUAGCAGGACGUUUCACAAGAUGGAAGAGUUCAUCAUUGAUUAUGAAAGUGGUGCUCCGCAUUCCGCUGAGGUGAAGCGGGCUCUUGAAGAAGCACUAAAGAAGAUUAUGAAGACUGUAGGUGCCCACUUCGCCGGCAACAGUAAAGCAAAACAUCUUGCGAAAGCUAUGUAG